rnacentral:rRNA from 1 species
GAUGAACGCUGGCGGCGUGCUUAACACAUGCAAGUCGAACGGAAAGGCCCAAGCUUGCUUGGGUACUCGAGUGGCGAACGGGUGAGUAACACGUGGGUGAUCUGCCCUGCACUUCGGGAUAAGCCUGGGAAACUGGGUCUAAUACCGGAUAGGACCACAUCUUGGAUGGUGUGGUGGAAAGUUUUUCGGUGUGGGAUGAGCUCGCGGCCUAUCAGCUUGUUGGUGGGGUAAUGGCCUACCAAGGCGUCGACGGGUAGCCGGCCUGGGAGGGUGUACGGCCACAUUGGGGCUGGGAUACGGCCCAGACUCCUACGGGAGGGAGGAGUGGGGAAUAUUGCACAAUGGGCGCGAGCCUGAUGCAGCGACGCCGGGUGGGGGAUGACGGCCUUCGGGUUGUAAACUCCUUUCGCUAGGGACGAAGCGUUAUGUGACGGUACCUGGAGAAGAAGCACCGGCUAACUACGUG